rfam:Ornithorhynchus anatinus chromosome X1, whole genome shotgun sequence.
CCCCUCUCAGGGUCACACCUGGAGAGUUUCCAGUACCCUACCAGUCUUGGCUACAGGAGGGAGAGCCAAGCAGAGCCCUACCCAUUCCGUUCCUAGCUUGGGCAGUGGCCAGCGAGUGAAAGGCCAUCUGCUACAAGU